GUUGGAAUUAACACUUUAGACCAACAGAAAAGUCUCUGGAGGCGAAUACUCUGCAGAGACUCUAAGCUGGCAACCAUGGUAUAUGGAGAAGAGGAGUGGUCCAGGAUACCAAGGCCUUGUGUGACCGUUACCUAUGCACGACUUUAGCUACGCCAUUGUUUAGUCUAAAUGAAGGUCUGCCCCUUGAAAACAAAGCGACACGCGAGAUGUUUGCUGUGUAACAUAUGUCUCCAGGAAUGGCCUGCAGUGUUCCUGCUCAAUAACCCAAGGCUGAUUUAUAUUCAGUAGCACAGUAUAUGGAACAAUAGACAACGUAAUUAUGUCACGUUACAUUUCCCAGAAGCA